rnacentral:tRNA from 1 species
CGCGGGGUAGAGCAGCCCGGUAGCUCGUCAGGCUCAUAACCUGAAGGUCAUAGGUUCAAAUUCUAUCCCCGCAACCA